rnacentral:lncRNA from 1 species
AUCAGUUUUCACAACCUAGGGUUUUCUCCGUUUUUCUUCGCAGUCGGUUAGUAUUUUUUUUCUUCGAUUUGUCAAAUUUUGAAGUUGUUUGUUGCUUCAUUGGUGGUACUCGUGGUGUAUUCACAAAGUUUUGUGUUUUCUCCUUUAUUCAUCAAUUUUUUGAAGUUUGGUUGUUGUUUCAUCGGUACUACUGGUGGUGUGUUCACAGAAGUUUUGUCUCUUAAAUCAAUCAGUUCUUGAGUAACAGUUUUGUAUCUCAUAUAUUUCAUUCAUUUUUUUGUUCAUGUGUCGUCACUCACACUUAAAAUGACUGAUGAAGGUGACAAUCCUCUUCCUGUACCCACUAGCUUUGUUCCUGACCCGUCGAAUCCUCUAUUUUUUAUGUCUUCUGAUGUACCUGGGGUUUCUCUAGUUACCAACCAGUUUUCAGGUGUUGGUUUUG